rnacentral:rRNA from 1 species
UACGUAGGGUGCGAGCGUUGUCCGGAAUUAUUGGGCGUAAAGAGCUCGUAGGCGGUUUGUCGCGUCUGCUGUGAAAACUGGAGGCUCAACCUCCAGCCUGCAGCUGAUACGGGCAGGCUUGAGUUCGGUAGGGGAGACUGGAAUUCCUGGUGUAGCGGUGAAAUGCGCAGAUAUCAGGAGGAACACCGGUGGCGAAGGCGGGUCUCUGGGCCGAUACUGACGCUGAGGAGCGAAAGCGUGGGGAGCGAACAGG